GGAUUAGAUACCCUGGUAGUCCACGCCGUAAACGAUGGACACUAGCUGUUGGGUUUUCGGACUCAGUGGCUAAGCGAAAGUGAUAAGUGUCCCACCUGGGGAGUACGAUCGCAAGAUUGAAACUCAAAGGAAUUGACGGGGGCCCGCACAAGCGGUGGAGCAUGUGGUUUAAUUCGAUGAUACGCGAGGAACCUUACCAGGGCUUAAAUGUAGAUUGCAUAGAUCAGAGACGGUCUUUUCUUCGGACUAUCUACAAGGUGCUGCAUGGUUGUCGUCAGCUCGUGCCG
rnacentral:rRNA from 1 species